GCGCCGCCGCACGGGCUCCUGCUCCCGGGAACCCCCGCCCUACGGGCUCUUGCUCCCGGGAGCCACCGCCGCACGGGCUCCUGCUCCCGGGAACCGCCGCCCGCGCUUGUGGCGGCGAGUCACGGAAUCAACUGGGUUGGAUAAGGCCUCUAAGAUCAUUGCGACCGACUUGGGCCGAGCACCAUGUCAACCCGACCAUGGCACCAAGUGGCACAUCCGGAUUUUCCUUGAACACUUCUAGGGAUGGUGACUCCACCACCUCCCUGGGCAGCCCAUUCUAGUGUCUAAUCAUCCUUUCUGGAAGGAAAUUCUUCCUAAUGUCCAGCCCAAAGCUCCCCUGGCACAGCUUAAGACAAUAUCCUCACACUGCCCACGUACCUUCCCAAAAGGACAGCCCCUGCCCGGUUACGGCCUCUUUUCGGAGGAAAGGAGCGCCUCAAUGUCCUUGAAUUGAGAACUAUGUCCUCGUGUCCUGUCACUAGCCUGGGAGAAGAGGCCUACCCCUACGAGGGAACAAGGUCGUUUCAGGUUGUAUCCAGGUACCAGCUAACGUCCCAGUCUGUCCAAGUACUUUGCUUUGGUCCUUUCACAGUGUGAACGGAGAUGCACUGAGAUGCAAAGCUCUGAAAGGAAAUCAUGGAUGCCAGCAGCUGUGAUCCCAAAGAUCUCUUUCUAUAAGGAGUAUUUUACAAAGGGCUUAAUACUUAUAUCCUUGUUGAUUUUGAUGACCUGGACAAGGGGAUCGAGUGCAUUCUGAAUCAGUUCACAGGUGACACCAAGCUGGGUGGGAGUGCUGAUCUGGUGGAGGGUAGGAAGGCUCUGCAGAGGGAUCUGGACAGCCUGGAUCAUGGCUGGGGCCAAUGGUGUGAGGUUCAACAAGGCCCAGUGCUGGGUCCUGCCUCUGAGUCACAACAGCCCCAGGCAGCUCCACAGGCUGGGGCAGAGUGGCUGGAAAGGAGCUGGGGGUGCUGGUGACAGCAGCUGAACAUGAGCCAGGGUGUGCCCAGGUGGCCAAGAAGGCCAAUGGCAUCCUGGCCUGGAUCAGCCAUGGUGUGGCCAGCAGGGCCAGGGCAGGGAUUGUCCUCCUGCACUGGGCACUGGUGAGAGCACAUCUUGAGUGCUGUGUUUAGUUUUGGGCUCUUCACUACAGGAAGGUCAUUCUGGUGUUGGAGUGAGUCCAGAGAAAGGCAGUGGAGGUGGUGAAGGGUCUGGAGCACAAGUCCUGUGAGGAAUGGCCAAGGGAGCUAAGGGUGUUCAGUCUGGAGAAAAGGAGUCUCAGGGAGGACCUUAUCAGUCUGCAAGUACUUGAAAGGACACUAUAGAUGGGUGGGGUUCAGUUUUUCCUCCCAAGUAAUGUUAGAACAAGAGAAAAUGGCCUCAAGUUGCAUUGCACUGGGGAAGGUUUAUUAUGAAUAAUUAUUAUUUUUGUAUUACUUUAUAAUAUUUAAAAAUUAUUUUACAAUAAUUUUUCAUUGUAUUAUGAAAAAUUUCUUCACUGAAAUGGUUGUCAAGCAUUGCAACAAGCUGCCCAGGAAAGUGGUUGGAGUCACCAUUCCUGGAAAUGUUGAGGACACGUUUUAGUGGUGGAUAUGGUGGUGGUGCUGGGUUGAUGGUUAGACUUGAUGAACUUAGAGGUGUAAUUUUAAGAAAAACCUAACUAUUCUAUCAGCUUUUCUGUCAUAUGGCUUUUCUUGAGGCAGGCUGCAAGAAGGCUUAGGAGGUAAAUAGGGAAAUAAGCUUUGCAUUGCCUUCAGGCCCAGUUUAUCUCUGUGUUGUUGUGGAGUCUGGAGCAAAGAUUAAAAAAAAGAGGCAAUCCGUACCUUCCCUCCCCCAUGUCAGGAACUUUUCCUCUUGGUUGCCUAAGUGGAAUUCCUAUCAGUGUAAAUGAAAAGUAAAUAAGUGCAUUGGAGAUGGAUAUAUGACUUGACUUGAAAAAAGUGGAGCUUUUUUUUGUGUGUUUUAGAAAAGCAAAAAUUCUUUUGAAACCUGUCUGAAAUUUGAAACCCUUGAAACCAACAAUUAUUUUUUUUAAUGAAGCAGGAUCAAAACCAGGAGUGUUGACAUAAAUACGAAAGGAUGUAUUUUAGAGCUGAUACUUCACUUGCCAUAAGAUUUCUAUAUCUUAAUUGCCCAUGAAUCCUGACUUUUAAUAAUCCAUAUAGUUCCAUUAAAACAGUGAGUCUCCUGAUGCAUAUUAGGAACCAAACAUGUAAGGAGAAUUAAACAGCAGGGUCCUUUUCUAUUUCCCUUACCCCAUUAUUUGGAAUUUGAACAAGUUACAGACACUUCUGUAAAUAAAAUCUGUAAUGUUUGCAGCUUCUCUGUAUUCUGUAUACUUAAAAUCUUAUCGAAUUACAUAACCAGGUCAAACAUUAUAGUGAUUGAGGCUUCCUUGCAGAUGCUGUUUAAAGAUUACAGUCACACACUUAUGACUUCCUUACAAAUUGUGACCGACAUUAUGAAAGUUUCUUGGAAACACAAUUGAUUAAUCAUGUUUUUAUUCUUGCUUCUUAUUUAACCUCCAGUAAUUUAAGAUGGAGUUUGUACUUCAGAGAAAACAGAAGAGUGAAAAGGGAAUUGCUAGUAACUCCAUCAUUUUUAUUGAAAAUGUUGAUUAAAAGGUCAAAUAGUCCCUUCCAGACAGCAGAUAAACUUUCUACUUUGUGAAAUACAUUAAAGAAGGUUGUGCUGAGCACCAAAUCCCCUUUAAUCUGUAACAUAUUCCAACAUAAAACUCAGAAUAGAAAUAAAAACUGAAAAAAUUA